UGUGACAAGACGUUCCCGUAC
rnacentral:piRNA from 1 species